GCAUCAGCAGAGAUAACUGUGGAGAAGAUGAGAGAGGUUGGUGAGAAAUUGGGAUACGGUGUUGAGAGAGGGAAGGUUGGAAGUAUAAGGAGGGAGGCGGGAAGGGUGGUUCUGUUGGUCGAAGUUUCAGAAGUUGCUCCAUCAUUGUUACUAGUGGAGGUGCAGGUGGUAGACGGAGGAGAAUUUGAGGAGUUGAAAUGGGAAAUUGUGAAAGCUGGGCUUGAAGAUAUAGUUGUUUCAUGGGAGGGUAGUGGGAUGUAGAUGAGUUGGAGCAGCGUUCAGAUGGGGAGUUGUGAAAGCUAGGCUUGCAGAUACAGUUGUUUCAUGGCAGAACAGCGGGAUGUAGAGGAGUUGAAGCGUUGUUUAGAAGGUAGUUAAUUGGGGAUUUAGAAAUUAAUGCAGAAUUGGUUGAAGGGGAGUAGUUCUUCACGGCAAAUAGCAUAUGGGGAGCAUUGCUGGAUGAAAUUCAGUGUCCGGUGGUGAAUUUAACAGUGGUUCUCCGAGGGUGGGUUACAAGCAUCUUGUUUGGUCAUCAGAUUGGUUAUUUAGCCAUAUUCCUGCAGAUGAAACUUGGAACAGAUUCUGUAAAAAAAAAAAAAAUGGAAGGAUUUUGCUUUUCUCCUUUUUCUUCUAUCCCAGUUGGUUGUGUAUUCUCCUAAUUUAAUAAAUAUAAUAUAUAUGGCAAAAAUGAACUUACCGCUUAUCAGGCUCACCCACAUCUGUAACCUAUUUUUUCUAAAAUCACCAAAUUUCAAUGUUCCCUUGGACGGACAAAGAAUUGACAUCCACCAC
rnacentral:lncRNA from 1 species